GACGAACGCUGGCGGCGUGCCUAAUACAUGCAAGUAGAACGCUGAAGAGAGGAGCUUGCUCUUCUUGGAUGAGUUGCGAACGGGUGAGUAACGCGUAGGUAACCUGCCUUGUAGCGGGGGAUAACUAUUGGAAACGAUAGCUAAUACCGCAUAACAAUGGAUGACACAUGUCAUUUAUUUGAAAGGGGCAAUUGCUCCACUACAAGAUGGACCUGCGUUGUAUUAGCUAGUAGGUGAGGUAAUGGCUCACCUAGGCGACGAUACAUAGCCGACCUGAGAGGGUGAUCGGCCACACUGGGACUGAGACACGGCCCAGACUCCUACGGGAGGCAGCAGUAGGGAAUCUUCGGCAAUGGGGGCAACCCUGACCGAGCAACGCCGCGUGAGUGAAGAAGGUUUUCGGAUCGUAAAGCUCUGUUGUAAGUCAAGAACGGGUGUGAGAGUGGAAAGUUCACACUGUGACGGUAGCUUACCAGAAAAGGACGGCUAACUACGU
rnacentral:rRNA from 1 species